GCAGUCCUGUAUCUCAGGUGGAUCUCUCUCUUCCCCAGAAAUGCAAACACCUGCCACAGGCACAGGGGGGCCUUUGGGGGAAGUGGCCCCCCUCACUUUUGGGGGCCGGAGCAGCUGUAUUUACUGUCAUGUGAUGCUGUCAUGUGAUCAGAGUUCCUUCACAGGGUUUGGCUCCCUUGCCAAAGCAUCCAGCCCUGUAGGUUGGAGGAGCAGCCUAUCGGAUGGGCGGGAUUUCCAGCCAACAGAGGCCUUGGACGGUGAUGAAGAGGCCCAAUCAGAGCUUCCCUCUGUGGGAUUUUUGAAGGCCAACGGGGAAUAGCAUGACCGCGCUUCACAGCUAAGAAGACAAGGACGCGCUGUCGGGUUGUGUUCCUGGUGGAGCGUUGACUGGGACCAGGCCCCUCAAGGCUUCCUAGCCACCUCCCAGGAAGCCUGACUUGCACUUCUGUUGCCACCUCACUUCUGCAUCCCCCCAGCAAACCCGCUGCCUGUGGUUACCAGGACCACAAGUGAUGCAAGAUGAUGGCUUCAUUGCUGGGACCUCCUCCCCAGCUAGCAGGGCAUUGAAACAGCCUAAUUGGUGUCUCUGGGGGAAGUAGGGGGGAGGUACCAAAUUGUUCACCCAGGAACCGGGCCUAGCCCUCGGGGACUCCUCCCCACACAGGCACACUGGGAAGGUGCUUUCUCAGUCCCAAUCGGAGGACUAGGAUGCAGGGUAACGGGGGAAGGCCGCUAGUAUCCAGGUUCCUGGUCUGCCAGACAGGCACGUAACAAUCACGUAUAUGCAUGUGUUCAUUGAAUAAACAUUGUUGACAGAACCGA